rnacentral:rRNA from 1 species
UGGGGAAUAUUGCACAAUGGGCGAAAGCCUGAUGCAGCGACGCCGCGUGAGGGAUGACGGCCUUCGGGUUGUAAACCUCUUUCAGUAGGGACGAAGCGCAAGUGACGGUACCUGCAGAAGAAGCACCGGCUAACUACGUGCCAGCAGCCGCGGUAAUACGUAGGGUGCGAGCGUUGUCCGGAAUUACUGGGCGUAAAGAGCUCGUAGGCGGUUUGUCACGUCGUCUGUGAAAUCCUAGGGCUUAACCCUGGACGUGCAGGCGAUACGGGCUGACUUGAGUACUACAGGGGAGACUGGAAUUUCUGGUGUAGCGGUGGAAUGCACAGAUAUCAGGAAGAACACCGAUGGCGAUGGCAGGUCUCUGGGUAGUAACUGACGCUGAGGAGCGAAAGCAUGGGUAGCGAACAGG